UAGGGGGAGGAUAGAUGACUGUCUGGUACUGUGGUAACUACAGCUCGCAGUACCAGACAGUCCUCUAACCUCCCCCUACA
rfam:Myotis lucifugus cont2.17456, whole genome shotgun sequence.